AACCUGAUGAAAAUUAUGAUAGUGACUUACAAGAUUUUAAUGAACAUCAAGAAUUAAAAAAGUCUUGUCUGCAGACACCUGUCUCUGUAUUAAACAAAAGUAAAACGAGAUUGGAAAAAGUGAUCAUAAUUACCUCUAUGAUUAAGGUGAAGGGAGUAGCAGCAAAAAAGAAAGUAGCAAAAAAAGUCUUGUCUGCAGACACCUGUCUCUGUAUUGAAUAAAAGUAAAACAAGAUUGGAAAAAGUGAUCAUAAUUACCUCUAUGAUUAAGGUGAAGGGAGUAGCAGCAAAAAAGAAAGUAGCAAAAAAAGUCUUGUCUGCAGACACCUGUCUCUGUAUUGAAUAAAAGUAAAACAAGAUUGGAAAAAGUGAUCAUAAUUACCUCUAUGAUUAAGGUGAAGGGAGUAGCAGCAAAAAAGAAAGUAGCAAAAAAAGUCUUGUCUGCAGACACCUGUCUCUGUAUUGAAUAAAAGUAAAACAAGAUUGGAAAAAGUGAUCAUAAUUACCUCUGUGAUUAAGAACCGAGUUCCACAAGCGUGGUCCCCGACAUGUAAUUGAGAAGUCAGACUUUUUGAGUAAUGUUAGUGGGAUGUAGUAAUUAUUUAUUGAGUGUCUUGUU
rnacentral:lncRNA from 1 species